AGGUGCGAUCAUACCAGCACUAAUGCACUGGAUCCUAUCAGAACUCCGCAGUUAAGCGGUCAUGGGCGAGAGUAGGACUAGGAUGGUUGACUUCCUGAGAAGUCCUCGUGUUGCACCCC
rnacentral:rRNA from 1 species